rnacentral:rRNA from 1 species
UAGGGAAUCUUCCGCAAUGGACGCAAGUCUGACGGAGCAACGCCGCGUGAGUGAAGAAGGAUUUCGGUUCGUAAAACUCUGUUGUUAGAGAAGAACAGCGCAUAGAGUAACUGUUAUGCGUGUGACGGUAUCUAACCAGAAAGCCACGGCUAACUACGUGCCAGCAGCCGCGGUAAUACGUAGGUGGCAAGCGUUGUCCGGAUUUAUUGGGCGUAAAGCGAGCGCAGGCGGUCAAUUAAGUCUGAUGUGAAAGCCCCCGGCUCAACCGGGGAGGGUGAUUGGAAACUGGUUGACUUGAGUGCAGAAGAGGAGAGUGGAAUUCCAUGUGUAGCGGUGAAAUGCGUAGAUAUAUGGAGGAACACCAGUGGCGAAGGCGACUCUCUGGUCUGUAACUGACGCUGAGGCUCGAAAGCGUGGGUAGCAAACAGG